GCCAGCCUGUGCGGCGAGCCCAGCCUGGUGCUCUUGGAGACCGGGAGAUGCAAGAAAAUGAGUCUGGAAGAAAAUUGGUGAAUCCAAUCCAGAGGACGUACAAGCACUCUGACAGGCUCAGAGAGCAGAGUCUGUACCAAAGAGCAAUUACCCCACCAAACGAUUUCAGGACAGAAAGAGCUUUCCUGAACAUUGAAAGAUGCAAGAAGGAGUCUUAAUCGAUGAUCUGUUAUUUCAUCUGAUAGUGGAAACUGGUCCCUGAACACUUUUGCAACAAGAAUAGGUAAUAGUGGAUGAUUUUGUUAAAACACCUUUUUAAUAAUGACAGUAAUAGAUGUAUUUCAAUAAAUUCUGUUUUAGUUCUAAAUGUAUUUCUGCUAAUGUUUGCUUACUAUUAGCUACGAAAUGGGUUUGUGCUGUUCUUUCCCUGAGGAGGUUAAAGUUUAAAUGAAAGCAGUUACACUGUAUCUGUUGGCCAUUUG
rnacentral:lncRNA from 1 species